rnacentral:lncRNA from 1 species
CUUUCCUAUUUGCUGGUGUGCGACCUACUUUUCCUUUCCCAGGAUGACCUCCGAAUUGGUGCUUUCAUCUCUGCCUGGAAUAAGGUGGGGGAAGGCACUCUGUUAUCUCUGCUAUACAAAGCACAAGUUUUCCAGUUCUGAACUGCUAAUCCACAUCAGAGAGAAAGCACAGCCCCUCAGAGGGCACCUGGAGGCGCCUGAGGAGACCUGGUGCUUGAGGACACAGGGGUGACAGGUAGGCAGGAGCUUGGGGGAUGCUAAGCAAACUGUAGCCACCCUGAGCUGAAUGCAAAGUUUCCAGCCUGGAAAGGGUCCAUCU